rnacentral:rRNA from 1 species
AUUGAACGCUGGCGGCAGGCCUAACACAUGCAAGUCGAACGGUAACAGGAAGAAGCUUGCUUCUUUGCUGACGGGUGGCGGACGGGUGAGUAAUGUCUGGGAAACUGCCUGAUGGAGGGGGAUAACUACUGGAAACGGUAGCUAAUACCGCAUAACGUCGCAAGACCAAAGAGGGGGACCUUCGGGCCUCUUGCCAUCGGAUUUGCCCAGAUGGGAUUCGCUAGUAGGUGGGGUAACGGCUCACCUAGGCGACGAUCCCUAGCUGGUCUGAGAGGAUGACCAGCCACACUGGAGCUGGGACACGGUCCAAAAUCGUACGGGAGGCAGCAGUGGGGAAUAUUGCGCAGGGAGCGGAAGCCUGAUGCAGCCAAGCCGCGUGUAUGAAGAAGGCCUUCGGGUUGUAAAGUACUUUGGGCGGGGAGGAAGGGAGUAAAGUUAAUACCUUUGCUCAUUGACGUUACCCGCAGAAGAAGCACCGGCUAACUCCGU